rnacentral:rRNA from 1 species
GACGAACGCUGGCGGCGUGCCUAAUACAUGCAAGUCGAGCGGAAUGAUGAAGAAGCUUGCUUCUUCUGAUUUUAGCGGCGGACGGGUGAGUAACACGUGGGCAACCUACCUUGUAGAUUGGGAUAACUCCGGGAAACCGGGGCUAAUACCGAAUAAUCCAUUUUGCUUCAUGGCGAGAUGUUGAAAGACGGUUUCGGCUGUCACUACAAGAUGGGCCCGCGGCGCAUUAGCUAGUUGGUAGGGUAAUGGCCUACCAAGGCGACGAUGCGUAGCCGACCUGAGAGGGUGAUCGGCCACACUGGGACUGAGACACGGCCCAGACUCCUACGGGAGGCAGCAGUAGGGAAUCUUUCACAAUGGACGAAAGUCUGAUGGAGCAACGCCGCGUGAGUGAAGAAGGUUUUCGGAUCGUAAAACUCUGUUGUAAGGGAAGAACACGUACGAGAGUAACUGCUCGUACCUUGACGGUACCUUAUUAGAAAGCCACGGCUAACUACGUG